UCCUGCUGGCCACACUGUUCUUGCUACAAGCCAGGAUGCUUGUGUGUGCCUCUGCAGCAGAGAGCCUGCCACCCACACCAUUGGCAGAGUGAGCCCAGGCAGGUUGCGAUGGACAGCUUGCAAAAGCUUAUACAGCAGAAACUUGAGAUCAGGACCCAGAUCAGCAAAGGGCACCUGUGAGGACAACGGCAAAAAAGACUCAGCAUCAUGGGUCUGAUUCUUUGGUUUGCCAGAGGACAACAGUCUUUGGAAGAGUCAUGCAGCAGUAGGCAGUGGCUGCAGCCAUCCAAGAGGGGUUUCUGGGGGGAGAUAUUGACCCCUGGGCUGGGGAGGGGGCUGGCCAGUCCGAUCCCAGGCUGGCUCGUGUGGAGUCACCAGGUUACUGGAUAAACACCUGUCCCUCCCCUCUGGCCGCUCCUUGGCAAAGUACUGUACCUCCAACCCUCCUCGUGUCCCCAGUCACCGCUGGCACACAGCUGCUGCUGAAGGGAUGCAGGAGAGGGUUUGAGCCAUCCAACCUCAUCCCAGUGUGAGCAGCACCAGGGGAAGAAGCUGGGGGAGAAUGCCAGGGCCUGCUGCAGAGGACUGAGGAGGCACUGCUGCUCUCCCUAACUGUGGUGUGGCUGCUUGGUUUGGAAGAAGAGAAAGAUGAGGAAGGACCAGAAUGAUUUUUUUUAAUCAAGAAAGCAGGUACUGAAUAUAAGAUCAGAUUUCAUGCAGGAGGGACCAAGACAGCAACCUAACGCUGAGGUUCAAAAUUAAACCUGCAAUGAUGGAUGGAUUGGUACCAGCUGCUAGGGCGAUUACCGAACCCAUAAAUCAACAGCAUUUGACUCAGCUCUAGCUUAAGAGGAAAGUCAUUCAGGCAGAACAAUUUUACCAGGCACAGAUAGAUAGAAAAUGUAAAGAGAAAGAAGAAGAGGGUGUGUGAAACAGUCCAAGCAGUAACAUUUUUUGUUUGCUCCAUAGAAAACAAGGUUAAAGGAGAAAAGCCAGUAUUUCAAAGUUGAGGCAAAGGCCAGUGAUUUUACUGGCGUACCGAGACAGAGACAGAAUAAGGAACUUCAGCAGGUCAUGGAGCUGAGGACUGAAGGAGAAAACAUGAAUGCUGCAAGAGGGGCGCCCUUUAGUGCCUUUUAAGAACAACAACCCAGAUUAACUAAACCACAAGAGCUGGAAAAGGAACAAGCAGUAAAGCCUGGCCCAGACAGACCUGAUUCUGCACAGUAGGGAUGCCCACCUCCUCAAAACCUCCAGCUGCUUCUCCCCAGACCCGUCCAUACUUUAUGGGGGCAACCAGCAACUAGAGCACUGAUCACAAUGAAGUGAAUACACAUAGUUCCAAAAUGGUGCAGGAUCCUCAGCUGGCUCAGUGUAAGAGCCCCUUGGGGACCCCAGAGAGCCACCAAAGCAAAGCAGCCCUGACCUGUAUUGGACAUGAAGUAGAAACACAGACUUUAGGAUUUUUCCAUACUCAGAUGGGGCAGCCAGUGCUUUAUAGGCAUUGUAAUGCUCUGGCAACCGGACCUGUGUGUGUUAUGGAAAUGUGGAGAAGUUCUUAGAAAACAGCCAAGCUUCAGUUACAUCUUCUGUAGAUGGUGGUCCACGGACCCUCUUGUGAGGCCACGAGAGCAAAUAAAGAGAGAGUGCUGCAGGGUGGUCCACCACGGAACGAGAAUUUGAAGGGCAGCAACUCAUCUUUGACAUUACUCUUGACUCCAGUAAGUCCUGUCAAGCAACUGUGUAAGUAUGGAAAGAAUCUAGGACAGCUAACACGACUUUCGGCACCAUCAUCCACCACGUCACAGUUCCUCAAACAUCGCAGCAGUCACUCAUACCGCUGGCCGGCUGCAGAGAGCACGACGUAACAGCGCAGCUCCAGACCUGGGAGCAGAGCAGCGUCACACCCCACAUGGAGGAGGGAACGGGGCAAGGCUGGCUCCUGUGGACCUGCAGAGACCCUUAUCCCAGCUGGUGGCUGCAGCCCAUUAGACAGAAGUGCAAGCGGAGGUUCAGCCUGGUACCAAGUCCUAAUACCACACCUGGGGAUGUCAUCCAUGAUCAAAUGAUAUCAGGUGGUGAUGGCAUCCAUGAUCAAAUGCUACCAGGCCACCGAUGAUGGAAGCUGCAACCUCCAUACACAACCCCAGCUGUCACUUCCCUCAUCCCUGGCCAGGGCCAACCACCUGCACCUGAGGCCCCAAACACCAGCUCUGAUACAGCCCCUGUGCUUGCACAGCUACAGCUCAGGCUACUGUGGGCACUGCACAGUCACCAGGAGAAGCCGCGUGACGUGCACAGAGCAGAACCUGGCAAGGACACAAGGGUGACACCUCAGGCAGAGGUAGGGUGGCUGAGAUGGCAUCACUACCAUCUCAAAGGUUAGGGGGAAAACCCCAACAUGGAAAGGUAUGGAGCCAUGUAUGUCCCACUCACAGCCUCUCUCUGUGUGUGCCGAACGCUGCCUGAACAGGGUGAGCUAAGGGACAGCAACAGCAGCCAGCAGCAGUGGCAGCUGGGCUGAGGUCGCUCUCGUUGAAGCCCAUGCCCCCCGUCCUUCAUGGCACAGUAGACCUGGUCUUGAAAGUGUAUUGCUGGGGGAAACCCUUACACUUCAAUUCAGCCUUGACUUGCACUGGCCUUUGAAUCUGGAGAGAAAAGGAGAGGUUACAGAUUUUGUUUGAAUUGGGAGAUAAUUCUGGAAUUUUUUUGAGGAACACAGAAGUUUCAAAAAAAUAUGCCAUUUCUGCCUCUACACACUGUGUUCACUUUGCCUCUGUCCAACACAACCUCUUUUUAAGAUGUAUAUGGACAUAUGUCUUGGUCAUAUACGACGGUGUGUUGUACGUAUGAAGAAAAGACGUUAUCCCAUUAGCCGUGGUGUUCAUUUACAGAGCAGAGAUCAGUAGUCAAUAUUUUAGCAGGUUGUGACAGCCCUUUCCUGUGGCUAGAUACUACCCACAGAAGCCAUUUUAAUCUGUUGCUUAAUGGGAAUUGUUCAAAAGCCCCAAGACCAUCCCUGGCUAUCUCUGCGCUACUAGUGAGCUGUUCACAGUCGCUCUCACCUGGCCAAAGCCUGUCCUGUCUUAAGCCUGGUCUUGUACUUUCCUCUUCAAUACGGUGUGUGAGCUGCUGCUGUAUCUAAGUGACGUAAAAAAAAAAGCUGUGCCAGGUGCUUUGAUCUUUCUUGACCUCCAGGAUUUCAGACCUUCCAUUCAUACCCUGGAGAUGGUGCCUGAGAUGCUGCAGCCCAGGAGGAGCCAACAUGGAUCUGGCAGGGCACGCUCCCAUGCUCUCUGCUCCCUGCCCAGCAUGACACACGGCUGGAAGGAAAUCAAAGUAGUUGGACGAUGGCCAUUUCAGGAACCUUGGUAAGGUUUUUCACACUGCAUGGAUCAAUUUCUGCAGCAGUGGCUCCCAAAGUCUCAGAGUUGCUCUGUAAGCCCCAGAAGCACACAGGUAGAGAAAGUUCCUGCCUGCAACAAUCUAUGGUGUAAGUAGACAAGGCAAAUUACAGAUGACAAGAAGGAAAUAUGAUUACCCAAAUUCUGCACAAGGGGAAUUGAAGCUAUUUAGAUACAUAUAUAGGGCAAAAUUUUUAAAAGGCACAAAGUAGGAUCCAGCACCCAAAUUCAAACUGAUGGCCAAGUGCCUGAUCCAGUACAUGCUCUAAAACACUUCCCCUAAAUGACUUGCUCAAGGCCACAAAGAAAGUUUUCAACAGCACUAAGUACCUGUCCCUGAGGUCCUGAGACACAGCACUUUAAUCACAAGGCCACCUCCCCUCUGAAGAACAGCCUCUCCGUACCAUACUUGCAUUCAGCUGAGCACAAAUCAUUUGUGUGCACAUUCUCAGAACAGCAUUAAAAAUGAGAGUGAAUACCCAAGCAAAAGCACAAUUUUUGUUUGAGCUAACACUGAUGAAUACUUCUUUGGAGAAUUUGCCAAGCUCUAGUAUUGAUUAAAAAUAAUUAAAUGAUAACAUUAAUUUCACAUUUAUUCUGCUGUGGUUGCUGGAGUGUUUCUAAGUGGGAAAACUUCCCUGAGAUCGUGUCAUUUGGUUCUCAUAGCGCUGCAGGCUGAACAAGGGUAUAAAUAUGCAAAAGCUGCUCCAUUUCACUGUUGCGUGGAUACGAAGCAGAUGGAUAGAUGAACAAAACUCCUUCUUAGAAAGCGAGUGGCCUUGUCAAUACAGACUGCACCCAUCUGGCUCAGCACUGCACCCAGCUUGAUGAAAAAGAAGAGGAACAUCAUAUUUAAAACCUAUCCCAUUUUUCUGAACAUGGUGAUAGUAUUAAGAGCUUGGUGCACUAUUUCUGUUUCUGCAAUAGCACACACCACAUCCCACUGGAUGAGCCCCUCUGGAGCACAGGAGCCACUCUCCCACCACUUGCCUCCAUCCCACUGUUAAGAAAAAUGGGUACAGCCAACCCAUGCGCCGUGUCACCACCAUGGACCACAUCUGCGGUGGGGUGGCUGGGCCAGGACUACACCAUCCAGCUACUUUGCGAGGGUCCAGUGGUGUCUCCCACAAGAUGCUGAAGGCAUUACUGGUCCAGCCAUUGGCCAUCCCUGUUCAAGCAGUGGGACCAGACCUUCCUCUAAAUCCCUACUGCCCUACAUCCAUGACCCGCAGCAGAGACCAGGACUCAGUGCUCAGACCAGUGUCCUGCCAGCAAGUGACCAGAGGUGGUCUGGUUUGUGUCUCCCCACUGCUGACCCAACUCAAUGCCUGUGUGAGCAGCAGAACCAGUGUGUUCCAGUAUCCAGCAGCUCCUUCUCAAUCCCAGCCACUGGGCUAUGUUCUCCAGUGAAUGAGAAGGCAGGACCUCCUUGGUUUUUCCCUCCAUAAGAAAUCAAGCUUCUCCAGCUAUUUUCACUCAACACAUGCUAACAUUUCAUAUUAUAUGAUACAUCUAUCCUCCUGUCCAGCUUGAUUCAAACUGGACCCAGGGGGAGCCGAACAGGGAGAAAGCAACGGCAUGAUCUCACAAACCUCACAUCCUGAGGAAAUUAAGACAAGAAACUGUGAUUCAUAAUCUCAGUGUGGAUCCACUGGCCUCGUCUCCUACCCUAAUCGUCCCACCAUGCCAUGUGAAAAUAAAACAAAAGCAAACCCAGUAGAACAACCCCAAAAGAAAAACCAAAUGCAUUCUGAGAAGACAAAUUCUGCCAGGAUGGACGAAGAAGAAUUUGUCUGAUUACAGACCCUGCUCUAAUGCAGGUCACAGCUCUGAAGGAGUGACAGGAAUGAGCAUCCUGUGGGAGCUGUGCUGGCAGGAACCAGAGCAGGGGAGGCUCCAGGAUUCAGGUGCUGCGUCCCCAGGAAUCUGUGGGAACUCAGGGCAGGUAGCCAGCUCAAUUUCAGCUCUAAGUACACACUCCAUGGUCUGGGUGUCUUCAUCGGCAUCCCACAGAUCUGACUGAGGACUUGAUGCAUGUUUACAAAACUGUGAAGCCCAAGCAAAGGAGUGAGCAUAAAGUUAUUUUUCUAUCAAAGCCAACUGCCACUUUUUUGGGGGGAAAAAAAAAUCGACCUUUUUGUGCAGUUCUCACUUCCAAUGAAAAAACAAACAAAAAAAAAGCUUCAGCUCUAUUUUUUAUAUCCGCUCAUUUGGUUUCUUUCUUGCCUACACGGAAACAUGUAAAGUCCUUGUUCUUAACUUGAAGAGCACUUGCUGAUGCCUUACAGACCGGCAGAGCUCCAGGACCCCCAGCUGGGAAACGCUGUGUUCGACUUCGCAGAUGCUUCCCCCCUUACAAGGAAAAGGAGAUCUGCACCUGAGAGCUGGCUUGUCUGAAACCUGCCAGCAACAAUCAAAUCACUCCAAGGCAGGUAAUUAAUUGUGGCUCAUUCCCAAAGGCAAGGCAUGAUUAUCAUAUUCUAGAGCCCCUGAGUUACAGUUGUCCCUUAAUCACCUUUUCUGAGGAAGAUGUGAGGAAUUUGUGCGGAAUAAGCACUUUCUUUCAGUAACUACUGGCUUCAGUUUAAAGCGAUGAAUGCUCAAAUCACUGGUAUUGAGCUGUUUAUGAACAGACAGAAAGGCGCAAGAGACGUUACUGUAAUAAAUAUUCAGCAGGUGCCUGGAGAAUAAGAGUAUAAAUACUCAAAAUUGCUCCGCUUCAUGGUUAUAUUAGAAGGCAUGGGGGAAUGCAAAUCCUUUUCUUUAUAUUGCUUAUGAGGGGAUUUCUUUUUUUUAAUUCAGUAGUUUUGUUUCUUCUCAAGCUUUCAGUUCAGCAGCACACAGAGGAUGCAGAACCAUGACCUGUGUGGCAGCGGGCCCGGUGCCACUGCUGCUGCUGGGAACCAGGUACCGGCUGCCAUCUCGUGCCAGCUCCUUCCCCGACCCCUUCUCAGGGGGGUGUUCUGCCCUGGGGGGCAAACAGGGGGAUACUGUGGGAGCCGUGUUACCCCAAGGAAAAGCUGGCUGCUGGAGAGGGGACAGAGCCAGCGGGUCUGAGAGAUCCAGUGUGGUCCUGCCUUGAUACUUAGUGUGGCCUCACAUCUGGGCACCUGCUGUGCCCCAAAUCACAGGAAUCUCUGCAAAGCUCAUCCUUUUCUUCCUAAGCAUUUAUAAUAUGGAAACUACCGACGGGCAAAUGUGCUUUUAGUGAGCAGGGAGUGCCACGGCUGCGUAAUGCUGCAGACAGCUACAGACAUGGUCUUCCUCUAGGGAUUUCUUUUCCCUCUCCCCACCCCGUAUAUCUCAGUUAUGCAGAAUAAGCACAAGAGUGCCGUUUUCUGAUGUGUCUAUAAACCUAAGCAUAUGCAGCUAUUCCAAAUCAUGCCUGUGAAAUGGGGGGAAGCAGCAAACCCCAUACCCACUGCAGGCAUGGGGGAUGACAGCGGGACUGAGCAAGGCAUCCUGACCUGUGCACCAUGGCCCAGCUCUGUCACCAUUCAAUCUCAUUUGCUUGCACUGAUAGCUGUUAGGUCACUGCACCUUCAAAAAAACAUGUGUAACCCUGAACCCCUGCCAGGGGACGAAAUCACCAGCAUAAUCACUUCUCCAGCAGGGAGGGGAGGGAAACAAUGUCACCCCAGUUUGUGCUCUCAAGUCCACUGAUUUCAAAAGCUGACUAAGACUUUCCUCUACAUGCUGCUUGUGCUAACAGAAGGCAUCAGCUGACCUUCUGUUUUUCUUUGGAAAUUCAACUAUUACUCUAAGUGUUCUUGGAAUACGCACUUGCUGUCUUUCUGGAAAUCUGUAGAUCUUCUUUCUGCUUGUAUGGAAUAGCACUGCUGCUACGAACUCUACAAAGCCGGGAAAUAUCCACUGUGUCCUUCUCCCUCAAAUCUAAAACAUUUCAUUUCUGCCCUGCAUGGGGUCAGUUUUGUGAUCAGCAAAUAGGCUUCUCUACUUCGUAAAAUAUAGUUUAAGAAUGCAGUCAAUGUACAAAGACCUAAUUUGACAGCCAGACCCUGCAGUGUAGUCUUUCUUUUCUUUUCCAAAGCUGCCAGAAAACCUCCUGUAAUUCCAAGGAAGGGAGAUAAACCCAAUAACAUUUGAAAUGUGCCCAUGCUGCGGACAGAUGUGUCAGUACUUUAGACAAGUAACAAGUCAGUUUUAUGAGGCUAAUGCUGGUAAAAUGAUUCCCAAAAGACCAUUCAUCACCAAAGAAGAAUUUUGUUGUUUUAAAAUGCAGACAUAGAGCAAAAUUACAGAAUAACAUAAUAAUUUAGACUGCAACAGACCUCCUCCGCUAGUCAUGUAGUCCAAUGUCCACUCGAAGCAGAGACAACUUCAAAAUAAUAUUAGGUGGCUCAGGGCUUUCUGAGUUCGCAUAUUUCAGUGAGUAAUUCUUGUGUCUUCUGUCCUCUGACCCUGAAAUUACUAUUCCACAUCUCGCCUAACACCUCUGCCAGCACAGGGGCACUGCACUCUGGACAUUAGCACUCUCGCACCCCUCCACCUGCAGCAUCUGCAUUGGCACAUCUCAGCAAUUUCAGCUUGUCUUCUCUGUCUCCCUCUCUUUUUCCCCCUCCCUCUCCUUCCCAUGUUUUCUGGGCACAAGGGAGAGCUUAAAACCUGAUCAAAAUACUGUCUGAGGCUGGGGUGAGUAGGGAGUAGCACUAGAAAGCCACCAAAACUAAAAAAAAAAAGAAAAAAAAAAAAAGCAUGUCUGGGGACAAUUAUUAAUAUUGCCCCAUGACAGUUUGAAUGAUGGAUCAAAAUCCCCAUCCUUUCCCUGAGGAUAUGGGUACUUCAUGCUUUCUUUGCCUCAGUCUUUAAUAAUAAGGUCAGGUCUUCUCUGGGUACCCAGCCCCUUGAGCCAGAAGACAGAACAAAGCUCCCAUGUUCCAAAAGGAAAUUGUCAGUGACCUGCUCAGCCAAUUAGACACACAUAAGUCUAUGGGGCCGGACAGGGUCUACCCAAGGAUACUGAGGGAGCUGGCAGAGAUGCUCACCAAGCCCCUUUCCA